CAUUAGCCCGGAUUGAGCAAUUGUCUGAGCUCAUUUUACUAUUUUUCGGGCGCGGCGGCUUCGCCGCCGCGCCCGAAAAAUAGUAAAAUAGCGAGUGCGGAAAGCCGGAAAAAGC
rnacentral:misc_RNA from 1 species